UUUUCAAAUAAACACGAUUUAUACAUUAUUGUUUCUUUAAUCUUUUAAAAUUCGAAUUAUUCGGAAAUGUUUUUCUUCCUCCGUUUGGAUGUUGAGAAUGUUUAAGGAGAAGAUGAUGUGCAUAAUCUCUCGACUCUGGCUCCGUUCUCUGAUGAUUUGCAAGAAUUCGUAAAUCACUAAGAUUCUCCUAUCUUCACAACCUCAUGACUUCCUCUUCGCAUGAUCAUUCUGACAAACUGAAGCUGAUGAACAUAAAAAAACUCGGAGUUUAGGGAUCACUCCUCGUCUCCUGCAACCGGACUU